CCUACGGGAGGCAGCAGUGAGGAAUAUUGGUCAAUGGACGCGAGUCUGACCCAGCCAAGUAGCGUGAAGGAUGACUGCCCUCUGGGUUGUAAACUUCUUUUAUAUGGGAAUGAAAUGUUCCACGUGUGGGAUUUUGUCUGUACCUUAUGAAUAAGGAUCGGCUAACUCCGUGCCAGCAGCCGCGGUAAUACGGAGGAUCCGAGCGUUAUCCGGAUUUAUUGGGUUUAAGGGGAGCGUAGGUGGAUUGUUAAGUCAGUUGUGAAAGUUUGCGGCUCAACCGUAAAAUUGCAGUUUAAACUGGCAGUCUUGAGGAAAGUAGAGGUGGGCGGAAUUCGUGGGG
rnacentral:rRNA from 1 species